CUACAUAUCUGUGUACAUAUACAUAAAAAUGAGUUUUAAACAAUUGAAAUUUGUUGUACUUUUUGCUAUCAUGAGCAUUCAUCAACUUAGUACAAUGAAAGGACAACAUCAUCGAAGACAGCAUUGUCUAAGAAUUUUCCAUACUUGGCUCCUGAAUUUCUUCAAUAAGCAGUUAAAACAUUAAUUUGCACUUAAUCAACAAGUCAGCAGUUACAUUCUGAUGGCUAUUGCGGAUCACAGCCAAAUGUCAUGGUUUAUGUGUGAUGCUACGGAAGGAGAUUUGUCUGUGAGAGGACACUUCCUGCACUUCUUUUCACACUAGCCUUGCAUGCAUUUUUUUAUUUCAUGAGAAAAUUCUAGAAAGUUUGAAAAGCCAGUGAAAGUUUUGUGUUGACAUCUUUAAUUUCAACAAGAGUUGUUCUAAAAGGUAAGAAGAAAUUAUUAGCAUUUAUUACGGCUGUGACAUUUCAAAAAGAUCAAGUUAAAAGGAAUGAAACUUCUAACAACUUUGCUCAUCACAUGAAUUAUUACUUUGGUUCACUUUUGGAAAGAAGAAUGAGAUUUCAUAAGAUUAGUUUUAAUAAUAUCAAGAGAUUAACAUUUCUUACAUCAAAUUUUAUUUGUCACAACAAGAGUUAUUUAUUGUUCAACAUGUUAUUUAUCCAUGGCUCACAAUUGCUAGUGAAAGUGUGGUUCCAGAACAGGCGGAUGAAGAGGAAGAGGGUAAAAUUGGGCCAGCUGGGCACUGCUGCCUGA
rnacentral:lncRNA from 1 species